rnacentral:lncRNA from 1 species
CCUAGAGGCAGAAGGUCCUGGGUUCAAAUCAGACCUUGGAUACUUCCCAGCUGUGUGACUCUGAUAGGCAGAAAACAGCUGUUUUACAUCUCAGCAACAGGACCCUAAAGUCCUGGCUGGAAGAGCUGUUUCUAAAUAUCCUUUCCCUUAAGGAACAACUUCCUGGAUUAAAAAAAAAAAAACCCUGUGGAAAGUUUGUUGCUUUGCCCUGCUCCCCACGUAUUUUGUGAAAUUACAAAAUAUAUAUAAAAAUGAGUACUACAUUCUUUGACAAUUAUAUGGCAGCUGAAGAAUUAGGGGCAUUGAGGAAUGAAGGAUACCUCCAAAUUUUUAUAUUAAUAGGUACUGUCAUUUUUGUACUCCUCAAUACUAUAUUUAGAGAUGCUAAAAUAAAAAAUAUUGAGGAUAAAAUAGAAAAUAUUGAGGAUAAAAUGCAAGCCCAAUUAGAAGAUCUAAAAUGUUUCUUACAGGAUCAAUGGACAAAUACCCACUCUACCAGAAACAGACCUGUUUCUGAACCUUUGAAUGAGGAAAUUUCCUUCCCUGAAAUAGAGACGGAAAACACCUUCCCUAUAGCCCAGUUAACAGACUGCUUCUCUCGUGUAGUGCAAAUCUUGUCUGAAUUUAAUCCCCAAAACCCUUCCCCUGCAAUCCCAGUUUCUCAUGUUCCCUCUCCUACAGAAAACCAAAUUCCAAAGCAAAGGAGAUCUUGUCCUCCUAGAGAAAGCUGUCCUUGUCAAACUGACCCACAGGUACAAAAUUCAACUAGAGGCCUGUUUCCUCUAAGAGAAGUACCUGAAAUAGGACGGAAUGGGGAUGUGUUGACUUUAAGACAUAGGAUACCGUUUACUCCCCAAGAAAUAAAUGAAUUUACACGAAAUAUCCCCACAUAUGAACAAGAUCCUUUUCUAGUAACAAAAAAGAUGGGAGACAUAUUUUUUCAGUAUAACCCGUCUUACAAGGACGUUGAGAACUUACUACAGGCUUUUUUAAGUGAACGUGAAAAAAAUAAAAUAAUUGCUCAUGUCAACAAAACCCGGGGGCGUAAUGCAGCACUUCACAUCUAGCAGAUUGGCUAACAUGAAUCCAAAGGAA